rnacentral:rRNA from 1 species
UACGUAGGGUGCGAGCGUUGUCCGGAUUUAUUGGGUUUAAAGGGUGCGUAGGCGGCUUUGCAAGUUGGGUGUGAAAGCCCUCGGCUCAACCGAGGAAUUGCGCUCAAUACUGCCGAGCUCGAGAGAGACAGAGGUAAGCGGAACUAAUGGUGGAGCGGUGAAAUGCGUUGAUAUCAUUAGGAACACCGGUGGCGAAGGCGGCUUACUGGGUCUUUUCUGACGCUGAGGCACGAAAGCCAGGGGAGCGAACGGG